rfam:Harpegnathos saltator strain R22 G/1 HarSal_1.0_2.contig173, whole genome shotgun sequence.
CGUCAGAUAGCUCAGUGGUCUAGAGCAGUCGCCCGGCAAGCGAAAGACCCGGGUUCGAUUCCCGGUCUAGCGA